GCAUCUAUUUCUUUCUCAAAAAGAAAGCUACUUUCUCAAGCAUCUAUUUCUAGCUUUAAUCUGAUAGCAUCAUUAGCCAGCUAAAGCUAUUGACUUCUUCCCCAUUACUGUUCUGUUCUCAGUAACAAUUUAAGUUUCACUUUCUAUAUUGCCGCAGCUGUGUCUACCUUUGAGUUCAGGAGAAGCAUCAGUGGAGGCAUUGGAGCUGGAGGCAGUGGAGGCACAGAUCCAAGACCUUGAGAUGAAAUGAUUUCAGCUUCAGGAACAGAAAGCGGGGCUUAAAACCUCCAGGGCUGACACUCGCUUAUCUCAGAUAAGCGUGUGGUACUUUGCCUUCCACCUCAACUCUGUGUGUUUCUCUGUCCAAGCCCAGCGCACCUAGGACAUGGCAUGCCCAGGUGUCAUUCAGUCUGGCAGUGGAAGACAAGAGGCAAGAUUUGGGGGAAGAGUCUCACUUACUCCGCUGCCUCCUGUGCUUGGGAUCUCUACAGGGAACCGAUUUGCCUCCCUCAACAUGACGGAAUGCGACAUUGGGAUCAUCAGCGAUUCCAUUGGUUGCUACAUCUAUGCUUCUUCCUUUAAAGAGGAUCAGAGCCAUCUUCCUGCACGAGAGAGUGAACAACAUCAGGCUAUGACAGAUGGAGAUCCUGAAGAGGGUCUUUAGGAACCUGAUCAAGACAGUUUGACACACCCAUGAUGCACAUCAUCUUUUCUGGACUGCUUCCUACAUACCAAAAGAGGACACAAAAGGAAUGCCCAGUGAAAUGUCCAGGGAUAGGAAAAUCACCCAGCUCAACUGACUCUGUCUGCGUCAUCACCCACACUGGAUACAAGCAACUGGAUUUGUUCAGCUUUACAUAUGUUGUCUCUCCAGUCACUUGAAGGAUUCUGAGGUGAAACGUCUGGCCUGCUCUCCUUCAGGUGUGGGCUAAAUACUCAGUUUAUAAGUGGCUGCACCUGUGAGAAGCUGCACUUGCCAAUUCAUAGGCAUUCAUUGCCCCUUUUUCUUACUCUUCAGGUUCAUCUGACAAUUCCCUCAAAAAAGUCACAAUUCUUGGCAGAAUUAACCCUUAAAAAGCAAUGUAGAAAAUCCUCAACAAUGUUCUACUGUAUUUGAAUG